ensembl:piRNA 21ur-3977 ncRNA
AUAUAUUCAUUCUUGGUACUU